GCUCCGGUGGCCUAGUGAUUAGAGCGUCCGCCUCGGAUGUGGGAGAACGCAGGUUCGAACAUCGGCCGAGUU